rnacentral:rRNA from 1 species
CCUACGGGUGACUGCAGUGAGGAAUAUUUGUCAAUGUACGAGAGUCUGAACCAGCCAAGUAGCGUGAAGGAUGACUGCCCUAUGGGUUGUAAACUUCUUUUAUAUGGGAAUAAAAUGUUCCACGUGUGGGAUUUUGUAUGUACCAUAUGAAUAAGGAUCUGCUAACUCCGUGCCAGCAGCCGCGGUAAUACGGAGGAUCCGGGCGUUAUCCGGAUUUAUUUGGUUUAAAGGGAGCGUAGGUGGAUUGUUAAGUCAGUUGUGAAAGUUUGCGGCUCAACCGUAAAAUUGCAGUUGAAACUGGCAGUCUUGAGUACAGUAGAGGUGUGCGGAAUUCGGGGUGUAGCGGUGAAAUGCUUAGAUAUCACGAAGAACUCCGAUUGCGAAGGCAGUUCACUGGACUGCAACUGACACUGAGGCUCGAAAGUGUGGGUAUCAAACAGGAUUAGAUACCCCAGUAGUC